UCUAAAAACACACAGAACCUUUUUUUUUCCUGAUCGGGUUUAUUGAUCUAAACAUCAAUGGCAGCACAUUUAAUCACAGAUUUGAGAAACAAAACAUCAUCACUAUGAAAUGUCAUUCAAUUAAACUCCAGCUUCACAUGACAUGAAACAUGAUAAUAAAUAUUUAGAGAGAGAGAGAGAGAGAGAGAGAGAGAGAGAGAGGGGUUGGGUGAGAGUGUGACGCAGUGAGCCUUCACUUCCACUCUCUCCUCCAGGACGAAGACAGCGAGAAACCGGGAGCCGAGAGUGAGAAAAGGGCGCAGACGGACACGGACACCGGGCUCCAGAGCAGCGACAGCGGCGGGGGAGAUGAGGACGAAGCAGCGGCGUAGAGUUCGACCGCGGCACCGGAACCACGAUCUGGGCUAGAGGCUUAAAUCGAAGCUACAGCCGCGGCUGGUUGUUUUCAUUGUGAGGAGGAGGAUGUGUGUGCGCGGCCAGACACGCUCCUCCCGCUGCUGCCAGAGAAAAGCUCGAUCACUUCCCGACACUGCGCUGAUCCAGCAGGAGCCUGGUCAGCAUGGCUGCUCUGAUCCAUGAAAACUCUCCAUGAAAACAAAGAGGAGGAGGAGGAGAAGGAAGAGGAGGGGUGGAACGGCCACUGCGCCAUGGAGGACAACAAGCUGAGAACGGCCAGGAUGUGGAGGGAUGCCGCCCUCCGCUCCAGGAAGCUGCGGAGCAACCUGCGCCAGCUCACCCUCUGCUCCAAAAACAACCAGAUCACUCUGCCCGACGACAUAGCCGAGGUGGAGGCGCUCAACCUGGGCAACAACUCCCUGCAGGAGCUGCCGGCCGGACUGGGAUCCUCCCUCAACAACCUGCGCAUCCUCCUGCUGCGCAGGAACAAGUUCACCUCGGUGCCCUGGGUGGUUUUUGAGCUGGGGCAGCUGGUGGAGCUCGACAUGAGCCACAACUGCUUAAAGAGCCUUCCUGAAAGUGUGGGUCAGCUGACGGGGCUGAAGAAGCUCUGCCUGAGCCACAACAAGAUCCAGAGUCUGCCUGUCCAGAUGGGAGCGCUGCAGAGUCUGGAGGAGCUUGACAUCAGCUUCAACGAUCUGCACAAGCUUCCCUGCUCCUUCUCCAACCUCGCCCGGUUGCGGACCCUCGAUGCCGAUCACAACAAACUGAACCAGUUCCCUGCAGAGAUCCUGGCUCUCAGUGAGCUGGAGGAGCUGGACUGCUCCGGGAACAAGUUUGAGGUGUUGCCGUCCGACAUCAUGGAGCUGCGCUCCAUUAAGAUCUUGUGGCUCAGCAGCCUCCACAUGUCGGUCUUACCCGACUCCUUCUGCCGCCUACACAACCUGGAGAGUCUGAUGCUGGAUGGGAACAGCCUCGCCGCGCUGCCGUCGUCCUUUGGAAAUCUACAAAGACUCAAAAUGAUUAACCUGUCGUCCAACGAGUUCGAGGAAUUUCCGCAGGUCGUUUUAAACAUAACAGGACUGGAGGAACUCUACCUGAGCAGAAACAAACUGACGCAGGUGCCUGAGAAUAUUGGCCAGCUGGUGAUGCUGGUGAACCUGUGGCUGGAUAACAAUCACAUCACCUACCUGCCAGACUCGGUGGUGCAGCUGGAGAAGCUGGAGGAGUUGGUGUUGCAGGGGAACCAAAUAGCCAUACUACCAGACAACUUUGGAAAACUGUCCAAAGUCAACAUAUGGAAAGUGAAGGACAACCCUCUGAUCCAGCCUCCGUACGAGGUGUGCAUGAAGGGGAUCCCUUACAUCGCAGCCUACCAGAAGGAGCUGGCUCAGUCCCAGCUGGCCGUCAAGCCUCGGCUGAAACUGGUCCUGAUGGGGAACAGAAAUGCAGGGAAAUCCUGGCUGAAGCAGAGCCUGGUAGGAGUCGGGCAGGAGAAGACCAAAGGAAACCAAGGAACCAAGGGUAUUGAAGUCACACACUGGGUGGCGGACGCGGAGCGCUGCCUCACCUUCCUGGUGUACGAUCUGUCAGGGAAGCUAACCUACGACCUCAUCAAACCCUUCUUUCUUUCCCCCGGUGCUCUUUACCUCCUGGUGGUCAACCUGAGAACAUAUCUGCCCAAAAACUUCUACGCCCAUGUCGGAUAUUUCCUCCACCUUCUUGGUGCCAAAGUACCCCACGCGGUGGUGUGUUUGGUGGGCACACAUGCAGACCAGUGUGGUGAGGUGGAGUUGGAGGCGAAAACCUUGGACAUCCACAAACAGAUCGGUCUGCAGGAGAAGAGCGACGUCCAGAGCCUGAGGAGCUUGGCUCAGCAGGUGGACCAGGCGCUGGAGCAGGGCUACGUCGUCCGCACCUCCAGCCCACAUGUGCUCUUCUACGGCGUUUCCAACAAGAACCUGAGGCGGAGGAAAGCGCAGCUGCAGUUUAUGCUCAACAACCGGCUGCAGAUCCUGUCUCCUGUCCUGAGCGUGAGCUGCGCCGAGAAACAGACGAACGUCCAGAGGCUGCGGGAAAAACUCAUGUCCGUCGCCGACCACAGGGAAAUCUUCCCCAACCUCCACCGCGUCCUGCCGAAGUCCUGGCAGAUGCUAGAGGAGCUGCACUUUAAGCCCAAAGACUUAUGGUUGUCGUGGUGGGAUUCGGCCCGUCUGGGCCUCCAGGCGGGGCUCACGGAGGACCGACUCCAAAGCGCCCUGUCCUACCUGCACGAGAGCGGAAAGCUGCUGUAUUUUGAGGACAGUUCCACUCUGAAGGAGUACGUUUUCCACAACCUCCCGCAGUUCAUAGCAAUUCUAAACGUGUUCUUCCACAGAGACAAGUCCAGCUUGUUGGACCGGCUCCUCUCUGAGGGAGAACGAGGGGACAAGGGACGGGUCAGCCUGGUGAUCGAGAACGAGAAAGGCGAGGAUCUCAGGGUGUCGCAUCUGCAGCACCACGUGGAGGGCUUCCUCCAGCACGGUCUGCUGCCCUCCAACGUGAUCCGUCUCCUGCUCAGGCCGCUCAUCCAGACCCAGCAGGACCUCCACCUCAUCAUGGAGCUCCUGGAGAAAAUGGGGAUUUGCUACUGCGUCAACAAACCUCGCAGCAGGCUCCUGAAUGGCGCCACGGCCUGGUACAAGUUCCCGAGCUACGUCAGCAACGAGGAGCCCGAGGCGGAGGCGGAGGCCGGCGGUGGCUCGCUGCCCCACUGCCACUUUUUCUCGGUGGAGCAGCUGCACAUCCAGUACAGCUUCCCGUUUCUGUUUCCUCCUGGACUCUUUGCUCGCUUCAGCGUGCAGAUCAACAGCCACGUGGUCCAGAGGUCAGACAGCAGGCGCCAGAUCCUGGCCUAUCGAGGGAAGGUUCCCGUGGUGAUCAGCCACCAGCCCCCCCGAGGACCCGCGCAGGUGGAGACUCUGUCCAUCGCCAGCCACGCCUCGCUGCCCAACAUCUGGACGGCGUGGCAGGCCGUGACCCCCCUGGUGGAGGAGCUGAACGUGCUGCUGCAGGAGUGGCCCGGCCUCCUCUACUCCGUACACGUCCUCUGCUCCAAGUGCCUGAAGAGAGGGUCGCCCCAACCCCACCUGUUCCCAGGUGAACUGCUGACUCAGCCUCGUCCUGAAGGUCUGACUGAGAUCAUCUGUCCAAAGAACGGCUCGGAGCGGGUCCACGUGGCUCUGGUUUACCCCCCGACUCCCACCGUGGUCAGCCCCUGUCUGAAGUGACCUCACCUGCCUUCACGUCACCUGACCUCCGACCUCCGACCUCUGCCCACCUGCCCCACCGCCUCCCAGACUCAGACCUGAAAGGUCGGCGUCUCCGUGUCCACGGUACAGAAUCACAACGACAACAUAAGAGCGGUCCAUCAUCCAGGGACACACGGUCAUGUGGACUGAUCGACUCAGUGAGGAGGUUUUUCUCUGCUGGUGUUUGAUUGGCCGACAGCAGCAGCAGCAGGGUGACAGGAAGUUCAACACACACACACACACACACCAGGACACUGAGCUCGUCUGUGACUGUGGACGACCAGGAGGACGACAGGACCAGCGGCGUCUUUGGUCACAUGACAAACUGAAAACUUUACCUCCUGACCUGGUGGGUUAUUGAGGAGGAGGAGGAGGAGGAGGAGGAGCUGGUGACGAAGGCAAACAUCAGGUUUAACAUGGACCUGCUGUCCAGUCGUGAUGAACACCAACAGACUGCUCUCCAGAGGUUUAUCACCGACUGUAUUUAUUCAUUUCUUCACUGCUCACUCUGAGAGAAAACGUUUCUUCCGUCGUCCGUUGGUCAGACGUUCAAACAGGUUUCUGGGGUUUAACUAAUCAAACCACUGAACUGAACUGAACUGAACUGAACUGAACUGAACCAGAGUUAUUUAUGAACUUGGAAAAUAUGAAAAAAAAAAGUUACUGAAAAAGAGAAAUGGUCCGUUUGAUUUCGAAGAAUGUGAAAACCUAAACUCUUCUGUGUUUUAUCUGUGAGCGGCCUCUUCAGGAGUCAGACUCUUUCGCCCCCUGCUGGUCAGUUGAGCUGCAGACGAUCUCUUGUCAUUCAAUGCCACGGAUGUUGGAGCUCAUGUGGGACGAGUUGAAACAUCAGUAUCUGUGGUUCCAUGAUUCUGCUCACAGAUUCUUUUCUAUCUGGUCUCCACUGUUGAACUGAUGUAAAUAAUAUCUUUAUUUUUCUAUGUCCCACAUUAUUUACAGUGUGAUGUUGCUGUGCACACAGUCUUUUUUUACAGUGAUGUAGCAGGUUUUCAGCAAGAAACACCAAAAAUAAAUCAAUCAACCACAGGCUUUAA